GGGGGUGUAAAGGCUUCGACGGGGGCUGCGAGCCGAGGUAAGCGAGCAGCGGUGCGGAACCGCUUUAAAAGCCGCACUUUUAAAAUUAAACGACAACGAAACAGUUGCCUUAGCAGCCUAAGCGCUGCUCGUUCUGCCCGAGAGGACCACGGCUCGGGUAAGGGCGUCGAUUAGUGGUGAACGCGAUCGGGUACACUCCUUUAACCUGAUCGUGUACUAAAGGAUACCGAGUGCAGAAGCCCUUCGCCGGGCGUCUGCGCAAGGGAAUUUCAAAACGGCGAAUACGCUCGUAGAAAGCUUCGGUAAACUACCUUCGGACAGGGGUUCGACUCCCCUCACCUCCACU
rnacentral:tmRNA from 1 species